CCUACGGGGGGCAGCAAUGAGGAAUAUUGGUCAAUGGGCGAGAGCCUGAACCAGCCAAGUCGCGUGAGGGAGUACUGCCCUAUGGGUUGUAAACCUCUUUUGUCGGGGAGCAAAAGCCGGACGUGUCCGGCUGUUAGAGUACCCGAAGCAAAAGCAUCGGCUACCUCGGUGCCAGAAGCGGCGGUAAUACGUAGGAUUCGAGCGUUAUCCGGAUUUAGUGGGUUUAAAGGGUGCGCAGGCGGAUUGUUAAGUCAGCGGUCAAAUCGUGGGGCUAAACCCUAUCCAGCCGUGGAAACUGGGGAUCUAGAGUGUGCGAGAGGCAUGCGGAAUGCGUGGUGUAGCGGUGAAAUGCAUAGAUAUCACGCGGAACACCGAUUGCGAAGGCAGCAUACCGGUGCACAACUGACGCUCAGGCACGAAAGCGUGGGUAUCGAACAGGAUUAGAUACCCUUGUAGUC
rnacentral:rRNA from 1 species